rnacentral:rRNA from 1 species
GACGAACGCUAGCGGCGUGCUUAACACAUGCAAGUCGAACGGAAAGGCCCUGCUUUUGUGGGGUGCUCGAGUGGCGAACGGGUGAGUAACACGUGAGUAACCUGCCCUUGACUUUGGGAUAACUUCAGGAAACUGGGGCUAAUACCGGAUAGGAGCUCCUGCUGCAUGGUGGGGGUUGGAAAGUUUCGGCGGUUGGGGAUGGACUCGCGGCUUAUCAGCUUGUUGGUGGGGUAGUGGCUUACCAAGGCUUUGACGGGUAGCCGGCCUGAGAGGGUGACCGGCCACAUUGGGACUGAGAUACGGCCCAGACUCCUACGGGAGGCAGCAGUGGGGAAUAUUGCACGAUGGGCGGAAGCCUGAUGCAGCAACGCCGCGUGCGGGAUGACGGCCUUCGGGUUGUAAACCGCUUUCGCCUGUGACGAAGCGUGAGUGACGGUAAUGGGUAAAGAAGCACCGGCUAACUACGUG